rnacentral:lncRNA from 13 species
UAUAAUCUAGUCAGAAAAGGAUAAGGGAUAGACGGCUGAAAGCUUGGGAACCCUUGCAUCAUCCACAGCUAGCUUACGACAAGAAAUCAAACAAGGUUGUCUAUAAAAAAAGAGUGGAAUUUUAAAAAUAAAAAUAAGUUGAAAAAUAUAUUCUUUUUUAAAAAGGAUAGAUUUUUAUAUUCAGCAAAACCCACUUACAUCAUUUUUAUUCAGUCACUUGAAAUUUAUUUGGGAAUGUUUUAUGUGUAAAUCCUCACACUUUCUCUCACUAGAUACCUCAUAAAAGAAGCAAAACAGCAACAGCAAACAGAGGCCAUGUGUAUAUCCUGGAAAGCAGCCUUCUCCUUGGCCUUGAUUGAUGAUGACAGUUCAAAUCUACCUCAAUCUCUCCCAUUGCAUUCUUAAUGCUAAAGAGCUGCUUGUAUGUUACCUUAACCCAGCCACAGUGGAUUUAUGGGUGUGCACACAGACCAGUCUGAAGUUGGCUGACCAUAGAACAUCUAACCCAAAAACGUGCAUAUCCCUUUCAGAGAGCAAAACACGAAGUCAAGAUACAAAAAUAAAGAUGCUCAAAAUCUAGUCUGGGAAAUCCUGAACUACUGAAACUUCUAGGUGUUCUUCCUACUAUUUGUAUGAAAUUUUUGAAGGUAAGAAGCCCUUAUCCUUCUAGGAAAGAAUUGUGUGUUCUUUAUCAUAGCAACAAAUAAACACCACAACCAAGCUGUUAAACA